GGGAAAUCCUGGCAGCAUUGGGGUCAGUGCCAAAGCCUCCCUGAGUGCAGCGUGCCGGGAGCUCACAGCUGUGUGGGCUGUUUGUCCAUCAGGGAUUUCUCACCAUGGAGGCUCCCCGGCUGGCCUUGACCUCGCUCAGGAGUCACGGCUCCCUCGCAUCCUUACAGAAGGGCUCCUUUGACGCAGCUCCAUCCCUCUGACGUACCUUUGGCAUUUGCAGUUUGUCAUAGAGAGGAAGAGAAGUGCAUCACCUGGCUGCUUUUCCUCUGCCCAUCACCCAGUCUUGCUCUGGGCUCCCUGCCACCACCUGCUCAUCCCUCCGUCACAUCCCAAGGGAGCACUGGUCCAUGUAGCACCUGCACAAAGAGGUAGUGGUGGCCUCACAGAGCUUUUGGGGGAAGGAGAGACAAGAACAUGAGAAUAAUUUAUUUUUUCAUGCAAAACCCUGCUAGGAACUACCAGACUUUCCAAAAUGUAUUCCAAAGAAAUGCAGAGAUAGAUUCCCGACCGGCAUUAAUCAGUGCUGAUUAAGUCAUGGAGCUACGCAAUUUCUGCCUGCACAAAUCAGGAAUACACCCAUUCACCAAGCUCUUGCUAGAUGGAAAAAUGGAGAAAGUGAGUGGUGAAUGAACGUGUCACAAACAGUUGAAUGUGAGACUUCUGGACCUCCCAAUGCUCUCGGGGAUCCCAAUAUUGGGAUCUCAAUAUCUCGGAGAUACCCAAUGCUUCACAGAGAAGACAAGGGACAUCAGCUACAGAGAGGUGCAAAAGAGCUUUAGCAGAAGGCCCAGUACUUUCCAUCAGUCUGCCCCAGAGAGUAGCAUUCUCUGUCUUCCGGACACUUUUCAGAAGCAUUGUCACUAGCUCUGCAGCCCUGUUCAAUAAGGGCUGAAAUGUAUGUAUUAGCAAGAAUAUUUUACUGCUUGCAAGAAACCCCAUUCCAACCACUUAGAUCUGCUACAGGACAGAGAUUCUUCAACUUAUACUGGCACAGCUCAGCUCUCCCUACAGAGUCCAGACGUGAUGAUAUAUAAUGGGCAAAAUGAUGAGCAUCCUUAAAUAUGAGUGAUAUUGUCAGCACUUCAAGGAAAUUGUAUAUACAGAUCUACUUAGUUAAUAAUGAGACGUGCACACCUUCUGUGCACCUCACUGAGCACACAUUUAAACAUAUGGCUGCUGAGAUAGAAUAUAUCCUGCCAGCCUUUUUUCUUAAUUAAAGUUAUGCGAGUUAUGAAAUACUUUCCUUUAUAUUAAGCUCUUAUGCCUGUGGAGAAAUUUCUAUUUGUUUUUAUCUCAUUUGAGCUUCAAGGUUAAUCUUAGUUUAAGAAUCUUGCUCGCUGUGCUAGCAACGCUUCAUUCUGAUCUGUGCGCGUGGGUGUGCGCAUCCUUUUGUUUCAUGCUGGGGCUGGAUGCCACUGGCUGAGUACCCUCCGUGUACUGGUUUGCCCUACAGACAUUAGCAAUAGGUAGGGGUGGCUGGGAAAAUGGUACAUGAAGACUAUUUAACUGAUAGUGUAUAGGGUCAUAAAAAUAAAACCAAGAGGUCAGCUGAAGAGUUUGCAUCUUGUUUUGCAAGACAACGCAAAUGUGAGGUGUCUCACUCUCUGACCUGUUGGAGAUGUGAAUUCAGGAAUCAUUGAUAUGUAUUUACUUAUUUUAUUCUAUGGCAACAGCGAGUUAUAACUUGGUCCAGCAAGGAAAAAGGCAUAAAGGAGAAAGAAAAAAGAGCAAGGCAUUUAGAUCAAAUUAACACACCAGAAAUAAAAUAGUAAAACCACCUGCUUUGUCUGCAAAUAAACUUUUUAUAUGGCGAUCUUCAUGUCAUAUCUUAUGCAUGUACUGGACAAAUGUAGCAGUAGUACUAAAAAAAAAUCCAUCACAGUUAUAGGUACUAAAAUGAAUGUCUGAAUUAUUUACAUAAGUCCAUCUUUCCUUGGACCUUGGGAUCUGCAGUAAUUCAGGAUAAUGGCUCAGCUCCUUCCUCUAGUUCAUCAGUAUUAUGUUUUUGCAAUCAGAAAAAAAAAAAAAAAAACUGUUCUCUUUCCUUUUUUCUUCAGGAUAUGUAACAAAUAAUAUCUUAAGAAAGGAUAAAACCCAUCAUUUUUAGUGGGUUUUUUUUUUCCUGCCAUUGCUGACUGUUACCUUUUUCCCCAGCUUUUGAAAGUACUGUGGUAUUUCUUACUCACUAUAUCUGCUCUCAAACUCUUUCCUUUCUGUUCAUACUCCUCUUGACUUCUAUCUCAACCUCUCAUUUGACUUUUACUUUUUAUGCUCUAAUCCCCGUGCUGUCUCUCAUGAUAAUCCCUCACCUACACAUAUUUGCUUCAGCUCUCUCCUCAUUCAUUCCAUUAGGUCUUAAAUGGUUGGCCACCAAGUGCUUGUUAUACAGUUCAGUUCCAUGCUCAAAUCAUCUUUGUGUAAUGUUCUGGGUAGGAAAAGUCCUGGUGUUAUAUGCUGUCAUAUGGGCUCUGCCUUACAAAAGCCAUCACCCCCACAGUGGGCUCAAUGGGCAACACAGUGAAAUUCUUCUAAAAUUCCUCUGGACUUCCACGUGUGACUCAAUGUGAAGAUUCCUCUCUAUUUGUAACAUACAGAGGGAUAAGGGACUUGUAGAGAAAGCUACUGCAUGGCAAGAGCAUAGCAUUUAAACACUGACAGGUUUUUUUUUUGUUUUUCCUAAAAGAAGAAUUUGGGGGACAAAACGUGACCUCUUUGUUAUGGAGGAAAGGGCUCUUUCAGCCUUUCUUGUGAGGGUGUGAUUCAGUGUGCCCAUUCUGUAGCUCCAUUUAGCCAACAGAAAUGUUGCUGAGAACUAAAAGAUGAAAUAUAGAUCUACUGUUCAUUUCUUCCCCCACUUGAUCUUUUGUGUUUGAUCAUAAAUGCACAUUGUGAAAAGAUGUCUUAUACCUCCAAGCUAAACACUGUUUGCUACUCAUUAGUGAUUUAUAAAUGAUAUUUUCUCCCUGGUGACAUAUCUUUUGAUAUGAUUCUCUAAUAAUAACAUCCACCAAUAUUAAAAUAAGAACAUUCCCAUGUAUUGUGAUCACCUUCAACCACAUUUCCUCACUAAAAUUAAAUUUUAGCACACCAACUGAUAUUGUAUGCAUAUAUUUGUCUACCAUCAUUAUAAAUCUCCUAAGGGUCUCUAUAAAAUGAUAGUUUUGCCUCUUUGCAGUAAUUCUACCUAAUGCUCCAAAGCAAGAAACUAAUUACAUGCUGACUUUUCACUAACUUUGAUCUUUCAAAACCCAUACUCUGAAGUUUCUAUAGGUAAUCAUAUAAUUACAGUACACUAAGUGGGAUGAAAUUAGCCAUCAACUUUUUUUCUCUAAAUAGCAUCAACUCCUUUUACAAAUAGGCAUUUAAUUUAAAAAAUAUUAAUCAUUCAGUAGCUCGCUAUUUAGGAUAUCCCAAUGUACGUUUGCUUAUUGAAGAUUUUGAAACAAAAUCUAAUUAUUUACACUGAUACUUGUAACAAAUGUCUUAUUUUUACACGAAGAGUCUCAGUGGAAGGGGAUACGCUAAGAAUUCCUGAAAAAUAUCUUUAAGGAAGGCCGAGGAUAAACGAUAGUGGUGUUAGGAAAUUACUGAGAUUUCUCAAGGGAAUCCUUGAGCCUGUCAAAAAAAUGACCUCAUUUGUAUUUUCC
ensembl:lncRNA